rnacentral:lncRNA from 1 species
CUCUGGUAGACGCCAACGUUGACGUUGCUGUUGGGUACUGAUAUAUCCAUUUUGCAUCAUGCUUUUAUAUCGAUAUUUAUUACAUUAUGGGCUGUUAAUACACAUUAUGGUAUAAUACUUAUGCCUUUACUCUCUUAUUUUAUAAGGUUUACAUGAAGAGGGAGAAUGCCGGCAGCUGGAAUUCUGGACCAGAAAAGGAGCAAAUCUGAGAGACCUAUUCUGAACAACUCCAAAAGUCCUGAAAACUUACGGAGAAUUAUUUUGGAAUAUAUAAAAAAU